AACACAUGCAAGUCGAACGGGCGUAGCAAUACGUCAGUGGCAGACGGGUGAGUAACACGUGGGAACGUACCUCUUGGUUCGGAACAACACAGGGAAACUUGUGCUAAUACCGGAUAAGCCCUUACGGGGAAAGAUUUAUCGCCGAGAGAUCGGCCCGCGUCUGAUUAGCUAGUUGGUAGGGUAAUGGCCUACCAAGGCGACGAUCAGUAGCUGGUCUGAGAGGAUGAUCAGCCACAUUGGGACUGAGACACGGCCCAAACUCCUACGGGAGGCAGCAGUGGGGAAUAUUGGACAAUGGGGGCAACCCUGAUCCAGCCAUGCCGCGUGAGUGAUGAAGGCCCUAGGGUUGUAAAGCUCUUUUGUGCGGGAAGAUAAUGACGGUACCGCAAGAAUAAGCCCCGGCUAACUUCGUGCCAGCCGCCGCGGUAAUUC
rnacentral:rRNA from 2 species